rnacentral:rRNA from 1 species
GCGGAGGAAAAGAAACCAACAGGGAUUGCCCCAGUAACGGCGAGUGAAGCGGCAACAGCUCAAAUUUGAAAUCUGGCCCCCCGGGGCCCGAGUUGUAAUUUGCAGAGGAUGCUUUUGGCGAGGCGCCUUCCGAGUUCCCUGGAACGGGACGCCACAGAGGGUGAGAGCCCCGUCUGGUUGGAUGCCGAGCCUCUGUAAAGCUCCUUCGACGAGUCGAGUAGUUUGGGAAUGCUGCUCUAAAUGGGAGGUAUAUGUCUUCUAAAGCUAAAUAUUGGCCAGAGACCGAUAGCGCACAAGUAGAGUGAUCGAAAGAUGAAAAGCACUUUGAAAAGAGGGUUAAAUAGUACGUGAAAUUGUUGAAAGGGAAGCGCUCAUGACCAGACUUGGGCCCGGUGAAUCAUCCAGCGUUCUCGCUGGUGCACUUUGCCGGGCUCAGGCCAGCAUCAGUUCGCCCCGGGGGAGAAAGGCUCUGGGAAUGUGGCUCCUCCGGGAGUGUUAUAGCCCUCUGCGCAAUGCCCUGGGGCGGACUGAGGUCCGCGC